GAUGAACGCUGGCGGCGUGCCUAAUACAUGCAAGUCGAGCGAACAGACGAGGAGCUUGCUCCUCUGACGUUAGCGGCGGACGGGUGAGUAACACGUGGAUAACCUACCUAUAAGACUGGGAUAACUUCGGGAAACCGGAGCUAAUACCGGAUAAUAUAUUGAACCGCAUGGUUCAAUAGUGAAAGACGGUUUUGCUGUCACUUAUAGAUGGAUCCGCGCCGCAUUAGCUAGUUGGUAAGGUAACGGCUUACCAAGGCAACGAUGCGUAGCCGACCUGAGAGGGUGAUCGGCCACACUGGAACUGAGACACGGUACAGACUCAUACGGGAGGCAGCAGUAGGGAAUCUUCCGCAAUGGGCGAAAGCUUGAAGAAGCAACGCCGCGUGAGUGAUGAAGUUUUUCGGAUCGUAAAACUCUGUUAUUAGGGAAGAACAAAUGUGUAAGUAACUAUGCACGUCUUGACGGUACCUAAUCAGAAAGCCACGGCUAACUACGUG
rnacentral:rRNA from 1 species